GUAGUAGGUGAUCGUGGCCUUCCUUGGGAUCCCUGUUUCCCCCUUUUAUUCCCUUUUCACCCAGUAAAACCCUGCUUUGCUCACUCUUUAAAGCAUCUGUGAGCGUAAAUUUUUGUGGCCAUGGGAUGGACAAGAACCACAUGUUUACCUGAAGUCCUGUGACAUUUUGGUGUGCAGCAUGGGAGCUCCAAAAGUGACAUUCUUUCAGAUGCCAGAGGAUGCUAUAGAAAAAUGCGUGCCCUCUUGUAAUACUUUGUUCAAGUUCUGAUCAGAAGGAUGAAUGAUGGAGCCCAAGAAGCCAGCUGAAAUGGCUGUAGCCAAAUUGCCACCAUCUUUUAAGAAAAGCCAAUGUCAAGGCUGGAGCAGGAGAGAAGGGGACCUGCUGUUAAUGACAAUGCUGAGCCAUUGACUCCACCCAUGCUGAAGACUGCUCAAAGGCUAGAAGUUGUGCUAUUAUAUAUGCAAGAUUCUUAUUGUCUAGGUAUUUAGGCUGGAAUCCAGUGGCAUGAUCUCGGCUCAGUGCAACCUCCGCCUCCUGGGUUCAAGCAGUUCUCCUAGAUCAGCAUCAGCGUCCCGAGUAGCUGGGAUUACAGGCACCCGCCACCAUGCCUGGCUAAUGUUGGUCAGGCUGGCUCGAACUCCUGACCUCAAGAGAUCCACCUGCUUUGGCCUCCCAAAGUGCUCGGAUUACAGGCAUGAGCUGCCACACCCAGCCUCCAAAUACUUUUUUUUUAAAUCAAAAUAAUGAUUUCAAUGACUGAGAUCUGUUAUGUAUUUCAACAUAAUCAUGUUUCAUAAAGAUUUAGUCUUCUGAAA
rnacentral:lncRNA from 1 species